GGUAGCUAUGAACGGAAGGGAUAAACGCUGAAAGCAUCUAAGUGUGAAGCCCCCCUCGAGAUGAGAUUUCCCAUUCCUAUAUGGAAGUAAGACCCCUGAAAGAUGAUCAGGUAGAUAGGCUGGAAGUGGAAGUGCAGCGAUGCAUGGAGCGGACCAGUACUAAUCGGUCGAGGACUUAACCAAG
rnacentral:rRNA from 1 species